CUCCUAAAAAGGUUGUACUUUUGACUUGUUUGAUAUCGUCGUUAUUGAUGAACAACUUUAGUACGUGUUUCUUUUUCUUUUUUGAGGAUCGAAAUAAAAUAAAUUUGGUUUUUGAUGUGUUGAUAGAUAGUUUGUUUGUGUUUAGCCAUUCGGCUAUUUUGUCCACUUCUGUCUGAAGAGUUUCAUUUAGUGUUUUGAGGCAUGAGUGACUGUAAAAUAUAUUUGUAUCAUCAGCAAACAAUAGCAUUGAUGCUACAUCACUACAGUUUUGAAUAUCGUUUAUAUAGAGGAUAAAAAGUGGCGGACCCAAUAUUGAACCUUGCGGGACCCCAGUUUGUACUAUCAUUUCGCUUGACAUUAUUUGUUUAUAUUUUACAAUUUGUUUCCUCUUAAUUUGUAUAAUAAUUUUCAAACCAAAGUCUUGCUAUGCCACGAAUUCCGUAAUAUUCUAAUUUACUGAUCAGAAUCUUGUGAUCAAC